GACGAACGCUGGCGGCGUGCUUAACACAUGCAAGUCGAACGGAAAGGCCCUGCUUGCCGGGUACUCGAGUGGCGAACGGGUGAGUAACACGUGGGUGAUCUGCCCUGCACUUCGGGAUAAGCCUGGGAAACUGGGUCUAAUACCGGAUAGGGGCCAUUUUUAGUGUGAUGGUUGGAAAGUUUUUUCGGUGUAGGAUGAGCUCGCGGCCUAUCAGCUUGUUGGUGGGGUAAUGGCCUACCAAGGCGGCGACGGGUAGCCGGCCUGAGAGGGUGGACGGCCACAUUGGGACUGAGAUACGGCCCAGACUCCUACGGGAGGCAGCAGUGGGGAAUAUUGCACAAUGGGCGCAAGCCUGAUGCAGCGACGCCGCGUGGGGGAUGACGGCCUUCGGGUUGUAAACUCCUUUCGCUAGGGACGAAGCUUUUGUGACGGUACCUAGAUAAGAAGCACCGGCUAACUACGUG
rnacentral:rRNA from 1 species